rnacentral:tRNA from 1 species
GGGGUUGUGGCUCAGUGGUAGAGCACUUGCUUAGCAUGCAUGAGGCACUGGGUUCGAUCCUCAGGACCACA